rnacentral:rRNA from 1 species
CUACGGGUCGCUCCAGUGGGGAAUAUUGGACAAUGGGGGAAACCCUGAUCCAGCAAUGCCGCGUGUGUGAAGAAGGCCUGCGGGUUGUAAAGCACUUUCGGUUGGGAGGACUGCUUCUAGCACUAAUAUUGUUGGAAGUUGACGUUACCUUCAGAAGAAGCACCGGCUAACUCCGUGCCAGCAGCCGCGGUAAUACGGAGGGUGCAAGCGUUAAUCGGAAUUACUGGGCGUAAAGCGCGCGUAGGCGGCUAGAUCAGUCGGGUGUGAAAGCCCCGGGCUUAACCUGGGAACUGCAUCCGAUACUGUCUAGAUUGAGUACAGGAGAGGAGAGUGGAAUUCCACAUGUAGCGGUGAAAUGCGUAGAUAUGUGGAGGAACACCAAUGGCGAAGGCAGCUCUCUGGCCUGAUACUGACGCUGAGGUGCGAAAGCGUGGGGAGCAAGCAGGAUUAGAUACCCUAGUAGUC